rnacentral:misc_RNA from 1 species
GAUGAAGAACGUAGCGAAAUGCGAUACUUGGUGUGAAUUGCAGAAUCCCGUGAGCCAUCGAGUCUUUGAACGCAAGUUGCGCCCGAAGCCAUCAGGUUGAGGGCACGUCUGCCUGGGCGUCACAUAUCGUUGCCCAAUGCCUAUUGCAGUGCAAUAGGAAUUUCUAGGGCGAAUGAUGGCUUCCCGUGAGCGUUGUUGCCUCGCGGUUGGUUGAAAAUCGAGUCCUUGGUAGGGUGUGCCAUGGUAGAUGGUGGUCGAGUUAGAACGAUACCGAUCAUGUGCAUGCUCCCCAAAAUAUGGCCUCUAUGACCCACACGCGUCUUUUGACGCUCAUGACGAGACCUCAGGUCAGGCGGGGCUACCCGCUGAAUUUAAGCAUAUCAAUAAGCGGAGGA